GGGAGAGGAGCUGGAGUUUAAAGGCUUAGACAUAUCAGUGACCUUUUCACCUUCUGUCUAUAGAUGAGUCUUUUAUUAUCCUGGCACUGGCUUGGCUGCCUCCCAGGACUGUGUUAUAAACCUGUUGGCUAAUAAAAAGUUAGCUGCAUAGCUGAUUUCUUUUGUUUUUAACAGACACACCGCUCCCUAUGGCUUGGGAAGCCCGCCAAGGCGGCGCAAGAGAUCGCUCAGCAGGUGCGAGUGCUCGCACUCGAGGGACAGCAUCUGUGCCACCUUCUGCCAGGCGAAGCCUGGGUACCUCCAAAAUCUGAAGCUCCCAGUGAGCUCUGGAGCAUCAGUGAAGUCUCUGCAGAGCGGUGGUGUGAGGCCUUCCCGUCACGGCCUGCUGAGAGCUCUCAGGGAUCUUGCCGUCUCCAGCCUGCGGUUCGGCAAGCGUCAGCACCGCUCUCAGAGGAACGCACAGCCAACCGUUUUGCCUUGGAAGAAGAACAUCUGGAAGAAGAAGAGAUAAGAAACAGGUGCAUACCAAGUUCACCAGAAGAAUUUGGAGUCCUGUGGGUGCCACUAACUCCGCUGUCGGUAGUUAGAGCUGAAGGAAAGGCCAUGAGUGGAAGGGGGAAGAAGUUGAUGUCUCCAUGCUCCUGUUGCGUGAACCAGUACUGCAUGCACUCCAGAGACUGUUGUAAAGGGAAAACUGUCUAUACAGUCAUAGAUGUGUCGUGGAGCUGAAUUGUUGCCUUUUUGGAUCAGGCAAGGGUCUUGCUGGAGGAGUGCUAGCUUAACUCUGCACUGGAGUCCUAGGCAGGGGGUCAGCCCGCGCUGGGCAGUUGAAUCACGUACAACCAGAGGGCUCUGUGCAGCGGUGGACCUGGCAGCACUGAGCCCCUGUCACUGGCCUGGUCUGCUCUGCCUCUGAGCCGUGUUUGAGCAUGGCUCCAGCUUGGCCCCAUUCAAAGGUGGUUUGGCUGGUCAUUGUAGAUGGGGGUAAACUGCCUCCAGUGUGAGCCCACCUUUGCGCUUUUUUCUUGUCAGUGCAAUGUGCGUAUGAAUGAGACUCCCAUGGUAAAAUAGCUCCAAGUUUGUAUUAAAAAAUAUAUAUCAUCUAGAAGCCUGAAAGCCAGCUGAGUAGUCAGUGGCAUUCGUUGGCUGAGAAAUUCACCGAAGAGCCAUCCUUAAGUGGCUCUCGUUUAGGUGGAAGAUAGCUUGCUUACACCGGAGCUUGCAUCAAAGCCAAGCAUGACCCCUGCCAUCGGGCGCAGCAGCAGGGGGGGGGGCUGAAGUGGAGCUGCAUUGCUGCAGGAGCCCCACGUAACCUGGGGGAGGGAGCCCCGCUGGGUCCGAGGCAGAGCCAAGCUGCUAGUCUGGAUGAGUUCAGUGCUGUGAAUCUGUCUCAUCUCCUUGGACAUACCCUUAGUGGGGUAGAGUUCUUCCAGCUCUUAACCCAAUAUCCCGUCUUACUUUCAGCUCUGCCUGAAAGGAAAGGCUAGGGGACAGAGAAGAUGGGUGGGGGGAAAAUAGCACGCAAAGGCUUGCUUGCUGCUUCGCUUAGAUCAGGUCUCUGCAUCAGACUCUAGAUAAUAAAUCACCAGUGUAUGGAUAGCA
rnacentral:lncRNA from 1 species